UACAGAAAAAGUAACAAGAAACCAGAAUCACUAAUAUUAUGUAUCAUUUUUACACAUCAUUUCAAGUGACUUCAGAUAGGCAAAAAUAUACUUUAUUAUUAUAUGUGUUUCCUAACUUUUCUGUUUUACUUUAUGAAACUACAGAUAUAACUAUAAAUUCAGCUUAGUCAAAAAAGUAAAUAUUAUAUUUCACUGAAUCUAUCUUACCAUUGAUUGCAAGAGAUACUACUACUUUAUGUCAUAUUAAGGAAAAAAACGCUACCUAUUAAACUAUGACAUGCCAUUAGUUGUAAAACAUAAACAAUUCCAAAAAUAUUAAAAUGUGAAAAAACUUGCUUUGGGCCAUGGAAUCCUCUAGAUUAUUGUAUUGUAGAACAUUUAGAACAUGUAGCACAUUCUAGAAUAUUGUAGAAUAUUUAAAACAACAAGAAUGGUAACUACCAUAUUUUCAUAAUCUGCAAUAAACAUUUUUUCACUUCUCAACAUUUUUUAAAUUGGAGGUAUCUUAUAACUGAUAUCAAAAGAAAGAGAAGCCAGCUGAGUUGCAGUUGCUCCUGACUACUAUGUGUGAAUUUACAGAGAUCUGUCUGUUAGAUCUUCUCCUAAGGAAAACAGUGGAAAAACUCAACAUGAUCAAUAGAAAAUAUUACAUAUGCAGAAACGCAAAAAUAAAAGGUCUGAAAGGCUAUAAACCAACAUGUUAACAGUGAUUCUGUGGAGGUCAGGAUUUGAGGAUAAAAGCUCAUUACUUACAAAGGAAAAGAAAAAUCCAUAAAGCUUCAUCAACCAUAAAAUAAAGAUAAGAAAAAGGACAUGACAGACAUCUCCCCCUUACUCCUUCCAGGGCCUCUGCACAUGCCUACUCGUCCCCCUGGCCCCUCCCCUCCACCAUACAUCUCUGCCUGCUAAUAAUCCCUAGCCUCCGAUAAAAUGUCAACUACUUAAAUAGGAUUUCUUUGAUUCUUCCCCAUUAUACAAGCUCUCAAAACCUUGUAAUUUUCCAAUAUAGUUCUUAUCAUAGUUGUAAUUAUUCAGUUAUUUGUGUGAUAUAUAUUCUACGCUGUGGCUUUCUCUAUUUCAUCUGUCAGCUUGCUAUUAUCCAUUUUUCAGUGGGAUCUAAGUAACACUGGAAGGCAUAUACAUGUGCCUUGGCUGUCACUCCGUCAUUGGAAUGUCAACAGCAAAUCCUUAGUUAUGCUAUAUUUCACUUCAAUACUACUUGGACCUAAACUGUAUAGCCUUUAAGAUAAAGGAAAGUGGGAGUUAGGUUGA